rnacentral:rRNA from 1 species
CCUACGGGAGGCAGCAGUGGGGAAUAUUGCACAAUGGGGGAAACCCUGAUGCAGCGACGCCGCGUGAGUGAAGAAGGAAUUCGUUAUGUAAAGCUCUAUCAGCAGGGAAGAAAAUGACGGUACCUGAGUAAGAAGCCCCGGCUAACUACGUGCCAGCAGCCGCGGUAAUACGUAGGGGGCAAGCGUUAUCCGGAUUUACUGGGUGUAAAGGGAGCGUAGACGGCAGUGCAAGGCUGGAGUGAAAGGCUGGGGCUCAACCCCCGGACUGCUCUGGAAACUGUACGGCUGGAGUGCAGGAGAGGUAAGUGGAAUUCCUAGUGUAGCGGUGAAAUGCGUAGAUAUUAGGAGGAACACCAGUGGCGAAGGCGGCUUACUGGACUGUAACUGACGUUGAGGCUCGAAAGCGUGGGGAGCAAACAGGAUUAGAUACCCCUGUAGUC